GAGGUGGCUAUGGAAGCCGAAGGAGAGGAAGAUGAAGACGAAGAUGAUUUGGCGGUGAGUAGUGGUGCUAUGCCAUUUACCACUAGCAGCAGUGGAAACAGUUUCCUAAUCGGCGACGACCCUGCACAUUGGCCAGAAAAGUUGAAAGACUCCGAGCGUUGCUCAAUUGUACAGAAAGGACCAGUGCAAUUACGAGGAGAUUUCCCCCAGAACACACAGGGCAGACGCUUUACAAGCACGCACUACUUUUUAAAUAUGAAAAAUGGCGAAAAAAUCCAGAGGUCCUGGCUUGUGUACAGUAAAACGAAAGACCGCGCUGUUUGUUUCUGUUGUCGGCUGUUUGGCGAUAAGCAGCGGUUCUGCACUGACGGCACGAACGACUGGAAAAAUGUAUCAGCCUUCCUAAAAGAACACGAGAAGUCUGCUGAUCACCUCGCAAAUAUGGCUGUUUGGCGAACGCUUCAGCAACGGCUCCAAACAGGUAAAGCCAUAGAUCAUGUAAAUCAAGAGCUGUUUGUGAACGAAGUAAACAAAUGGAGAGAGAUCUUGAAACGUCUGAUUGCCAUUAUUACACACUUGGCCGAGCGCAACUUAGCUUUUCGAGGCCAUUCAGAGAAGCUGUAUGAGUAUGGCAAUGGGAAUUUCUUAGGCCAAGUUCAGCUGAUGGCUCAGUUUGACCCUGUGAUGAGGGAUCAUGUGAAGAGGGUAGCUGAGAAACCACAUUCUGAGAGUUAUUUCAGCAAAAUGAUCCAAAAUGAAAUAAUCUGCUUGGUGGGAAGCUGUGUGACAAACACAAUUGUACAGAGGGUGAAAAAGUCCAAGUACUUCAGCGUCAUCAUGGACUGCACCCCGGAUGUCAGCCAUGAUGAGCAGCUGUCCGUGGUGCUGAGGAUAGUUGACUGCAAUCCUGGCGAAGGAGUGUCCAUCCACGAGCACUUUGUUGGCUUUCUGGUGGCAGAGGACACAACAGGGAAAGGCCUACUCAACUUGUUUUUGGGACACCUGCAGACACUAGAUUUAGACCUUGCUGAUUGUCGUGGGCAAUCCUACGACAACGGCAGUAAUAUGCAGGGGAAGAAACAGGGGGUCCAGAGCAGAGUCCUGGAGCUGAACAGCAAAGCACUCUGUGUCCCAUGUGCCAGCCACACGUUGAAUCUGGUGGUUGGUGAUGCUGCCAAGUCCUCUGUGACAGCUUUGAGUUUUUUUGGACUGUUACAGCGACUGUAUGCUAUAUUCAGUGCUUCUGUUCACCGCUGGACAAUCCUUCAAAAACAUGUGACAUAUUUUACCAUUAAACCACUCAGUACAACAAGAUGGGAGGCUAGGGUGGAGUCCGUGAAAGCCGUCCGAUACCAGUUGCCUGAAAUUUUGGAUGCCCUGACCGCUCUGAGGGAGUAUGCUGAGGAGAAGCAAGACUCUGAAUGCGCCUCCAAUGCCAACGGCAUUCACAAAGAGAUGAAGAAAUGGCCUUUUCUGUGAGAAAACAACAGGGGAAAAGACAGAUGAACAACAUCACCUUCUAUCAGUGAGCCCUGGCUGAACAAGGUUGGGUUCUAUACUGCUGCUCACCACUAUUCUCUGAUAUGAAGACGACAACAGUCAUGGCCGAUCACAGCUGCUCACCAUCAUUGACACCAGCAUCCCCACACACAUGAUCUUCAUCCAGGCAGCUCUCUCUCUCUCUCUCUCUCUCUCUCUCUCUCUCUCUCUCUCUCUCUCUCUCUCUCUCUCUCUCUCUCUCUCUCUCUCUCUCCUGUCACUCACUCACA